AACGAACGCUGGCGGCAGGCCUAACACAUGCAAGUCGAGCGAGGACUUCGGUUCUAGCGGCGGACGGGUGAGUAACGCGUGGGAAUGUGCCCUUCUCUACGGAAUAGCCCUGGGAAACUGGGAGUAAUACCGUAUACGCCCUAUUGGGGAAAGAUUUAUCGGAGAAGGAUCAGCCCGCGUUGGAUUAGGUAGUUGGUGGGGUAAUGGCCUACCAAGCCGACGAUCCAUAGCUGGUUUGAGAGGAUGAUCAGCCACAUUGGGACUGAGACACGGCCCAGACUCCUACGGGAGGCAGCAGUGGGGAAUCUUAGACAAUGGGGGCAACCCUGAUCUAGCCAUGCCGCGUGAGUGAUGAAGGCCUUAGGGUUGUAAAGCUCUUUCAGCUGGGAAGAUAAUGACGGUACCAGCAGAAGAAGCCCCGGCUAACUCCGUG
rnacentral:rRNA from 1 species